UAAAACUUUCAACAACGGAUCUCUUGGUUCUGGCAUCGAUG
rnacentral:rRNA from 1 species